rnacentral:rRNA from 1 species
UACGAAGGGGGCUAGCGUUGCUCGGAAUUACUGGGCGUAAAGCGCACGUAGGCGGCUUUCUAAGUCGGGGGUGAAAUCCUGGAGCUCAACUCCAGAACUGCCUUCGAUACUGGAAAGCUCGAGUCCGGAAGAGGUGAGUGGAACUCCGAGUGUAGAGGUGAAAUUCGUAGAUAUUCGCAAGAACACCAGUGGCGAAGGCGGCUCACUGGCCCGGUACUGACGCUGAGGUGCGAAAGCGUGGGGAGCAAACAGG